GCUUGAGAUUCCUUUGAGAUUUGGCCAUACACCCCAAAACAGGCAGCAGCCACACUGGCCCUGAUGUGACAUCAUUGCUGCUGACUUGCUUUGAGGCCAGAUUAUUCCAAAUAUGGAGAGUGAGGCUUCCUGCAGUAAUCUGACCAACCCCUGCUGUGAUUUUGAAAAAUCCAGAAGCUACAAGUGGUGUAUAGUACCAAUAUGCUAAAGCACAACAAAAAGCACACUGGGAAAAAUAUUUGCACAUGUACCUAAAGAGAAGAAGUGACAGAAAGCUUGGGUAGAUGCAGUGAGAAAAGUUGUUCAGUGAGAAAUCCCUGAUUGUGUGUCAGGACCAUUUCAAUAAUGGAGCAACCGUGUGCAGAAGGGGUGUGUGAACAAUUUCAUAGGAGUGGAGAUGAGUGGGGUGAAGACCACAAGGCCUGGAGCUCUCUGUUUAACAGCUGGAUGGUAGGCAGAAACUUAUUAGAUGUAGCUUCCCUGAGCAUCUGAAGAUGGGAACUUCACCAGUUGAAUUUCUGGCUGCUCUGCAGCUGAAGUACAGGCCAAAUACCAACAGGUUCUGCUUCCAUCCUCUUACGAUGUAAUAUACCGCCCAAUCCACAGACUCAGAGUGGUGUACAAAACAAGAACAGCAUCCAAGAGAAAGAAAGACAGAAAGAAAGAAAGAAAGAAAGAAAGAAAGAAAGAAAGAAAGAAAGAAAGAAAGAAAGAAAGAAAGAAAGAUUUAAAUGGCAAAUGUCUGGUGGAAAAGAAGUCUUCAAUAAAAAGGCUUAAAGGCAGA